GGUUAAUCCUGCUAGUAGUCAUAUGCUUGUCUCAAAGAUUAAGCCAUGCAUGUGUAAGUAUGAACUAAUUCAGACUGUGAAACUGCGAAUGGCUCAUUAAAUCAGUUAUAGUUUGUUUGAGGUAUCUACUACUCGGAUAAUCGUAGUAAUUCUAGAGCUAAUACGUGCAACAAACCUUAACUUCUGGAAGGGAUGCAUUUAUUAGAUAAAUGGUCGAUGAAGGCUAUGCCCGUUGCUCUGAUGAUUCAUGAUAACUCGACAGAUUGCACGGCCUUUGUGCCAGUGAUGCAUCAUUCAAAUUUUUUCCGUAUCAACUUUCGAUGGUAGGAUAGUGGCCUAUUAUGGUGGUGAUGGGUGACAGAGAAUUAGGGUUCGAUUUCGGAGAGGGAGCCUAAGAAAUGGCUACCACAUCCAAGAAAGGCAGCAUACGCGUAAAUUACCCAAUCCUGACACGGAGAGGUAGUGACAAUAAAUAACAAUAUCGGGCUCUAUGAGUCUGGUAAUUGGAAUGAGUACAAUCUAAAUCCCUUAACGAGGAUCCAUUAGAAGGCAAGUCUGGUGCCAGCAACUGUAGUAAUUCUACCUCCUAUAGCGUAUAUUUAAGUUGUUGUAGUUAAAAAGCUCAUAGUUAGAACUAGGGUUGGGUCAUCCGAUCCGCCUCACGAUGAGCACCGAUCUACUCGUCCCUACUGUCGGUGAUGCGCUCCUGGACUUAAUUGCCCAGGUCAUUCCUCUGAUACUGUUACUUUGAAGAAAUUAGAGUGCUCAAAGCAGGCCUACACUUAUAUACAUUAGUAUGGGAUAACAUCAUAAGAUUUCGGUCCUAUUGUGUUGGCCUUCGGAUCAGAGUAAUGAUUAAUAGAGACAGUCAGAGGCAUUCAUAUUUCAUAGUCAGAGGUGAAAUUCUUGGAUUUAUGAAAGAUGAACAACUGCGAAAGCAUUUGCUAAGGAUGUUUUCAUUAAUCAAGAAUGAAAGUUAGGGGCUCGAAGAUGAUCAGAUACCGUCCUAGUCUCAACCAUAAACGAUGCCAACCAGGGAUCGAUGGAUGUUACUUUUUGGACUCCGUCGGCACCUUAUGACAAAUCAAAGUCUUUGGGUUUCAGGGAAAGCAUGGUCAUAAGGCUAAAACUUAAAGAAAUUGACAGAAGGGCACCACAAAGAGUGGAGCCUACGGCUUAAUUUGACUCAACAUGGGGAAACUUACUAGGUCCAGACAUAGUAAGGAUUGACAGAUUGAGAGCUCUUUCUUGAUUAUAUGAGUGGUGCUGCAUGGCCAUUCUUAGUUGGUGGAGCGAUUUGUCUGCUUAAUUUCGUUAACGAACGAGACCUCAGCCUGCUAACUAGCUUCUUAGAGGGACUAUAGCUGCUUAGGCCAAGGAAGUUUGAGGCAAUAAUAGGUCUGUGAUGCCCUUAGAUGUUCUGGGUCGCAUGCGCGCUACACUGAUGUAUUCAACGAGUCUAUAGCCUUGGCUGAUAGGUUGGGUAAUCUUUUAAAUUUCAUCGUGAUGGGGAUAGAUCAUUGCAAUUGUUGGUAUUCAACGAGGAAUUCCUAGUCAACGUGAGUAAUCAGCUUGCGUUGACUACAUCCCUACCCUUUGUACACACCGCCCAUCCCUCCUACCAAUUGAAUGGUCCAGUGAAGUGUUCGGAUCGCGGUGAUGUGGACGGUUCGUCGCCUACGACAUCGCGAGAAGUCCACUGAACCUUAUCAUUUUGAGGAAGGAAAAGUUGUAACAAGGUUUUCGUAGGUGAACCUAUGAAAG
rnacentral:rRNA from 1 species